rnacentral:rRNA from 1 species
AUACGUAGGUGACAAGCGUUAUCCGGAUUUACUGGGCGUAAAGGGCGUGUAGGCGGUCUUGCAAGUCAGAAGUGAAAUUCCUGAGCUCAACUCGGGCGCUGCUUCUGAAACUGCAGGACUUGAGUGCUGGAGGGGAUAGCGGAAUUCCUAGUGGAGCGGUAAAAUGCGCAGAUAUUAGGAAGAACACCGGUGGCGAAGGCGGCUAUCUGGACAGUAACUGACGCUGAGGCGCGAAAGCGUGGGGAGCAAACAGGAUUAGAUCCCCUGGUAGUCCACGCCGUAAACGAUGAAUACUAGGUGUAGGGGGUAUCGACUCCCUCUGUGCCGCAGUUAACACAAUAAGUAUUCCGCCUGGGGAGUACGGCCGCAAGGUUGAAACUUAAAGGAAUUGACGGGG